rnacentral:misc_RNA from 1 species
ACACCUCAACUCUCAUGGUUUGCCAUGAUGAGCUUGGACUUUGGGGGUCUUGCUGGCCUUAUGGUCGGCUCCUCUUAAAUUAAUCAGCUUGCCAGUGUUUGGUGGCAUCACAGGUGUGAUAACUAUCUACGCUUGUGGUUUUCCAUCAGGUAACCUUCAGUGAUGGAGGUUCGCUGGGGCUCAUAAAGGUCUCUCCUCAGCGAGGACAGUUUUUUGAAC